GGUUUCGUGGUGUAGUUGGUUAUCUCGUCAGUCUAACACACUGAAGGUCCUCGGAUCGAGCCCGGGCGAAAUCA
rnacentral:tRNA from 1 species